rnacentral:rRNA from 1 species
UACGGGGGGGGGCAAGCGUUGUUCGGAAUUACUGGGCGUAAAGGGCUCGUAGGUGGCCAACUAAGUCAGACGUGAAAUCCCUCAGCUUAACUGGGGAGCUGCGUCUGAUACUGGAUGGCUUGAGUUUGGGAGAGGGAUGCGGAAUUCCAGGUGUAGCGGUGAAAUGCGUAGAUAUCUGGAGGAACACCGGUGGCGAAGGCGGCAUCCUGGACCAACACUGACACUGAGGAGCGAAAGCCAGGGGAGCAAACGGG